UCCAACCCUGACCAGCCGUGAGACAGGAGGCUUCAGCUGAACAGAUCUGCAGGGGCUGUGAAAACGAGGGAGACAGUGAAGGCCAGUCAGGGGGAAAACAAUGGUUUCGGUGUCCAAAACAACAGUUUUCUCAUCCCUGAAGCUGGUGUGUUUUGGGAAAGCUAAGGAAGCCACGGAAGGUUGGUUUGGACUGGUACAAAGAGCAUGGGGGACAGAGGUCCCUGAACGAGAUGCCCCCAAGAGACCCCAGGACUUAAAACCCUCCCGGGAGCUAAAGCAACUUGGAGAUCAACAGCGGACUCCGGACAACCUGUGCACAGGACAGAACUCCCGUCCACCUCUUUCCCCCCCCCCCCCAUCUUCGUACGUUACACCCAGGCUUGGCCAGCCCUGGACAGUGCGUGUGUUAACCCUUGGUGUACUUCAGUUCCCACACUCUCCAGAAGUGGCUUCCUGCAGAAUCCAGCCUGUUGACUCAGCUGAGGAUGCACACAUCACUUUUUAGUAUAACAGCACUGAGAUGAAUUUAUACUAAAACAAGAAUACAUUUAUUAAUAAAGAACAGAGAUGUUAGUGAUAAUAAGCAAACAUAAUAGAAAAUGGUCACAAAUACAACAAAAGCAUAAACAUGCUUUCUAGUGACUAGAACUUAACAUGCUACAAUCCUUGUCUAAGGUAAGUUUCUUACUUAAAGCAAGCUUUCAACAUCCCCCGCCCACAUGGUAGGGGAUCCACUGUUCAAAGAUACAGAGGGUGCCGGCCUCUUUGUUGCCUAACUGAUGGAUAAUCAAAAUGUCUUUUUGCUUCUUCUUGUAUUCCCCAAAAUGUAUUGUCUUUGUCACCAGUGUCAGGAUGAUCCCCUGACGUUCAGACCCUGGUGUGUCCUCUAGUAUGCUGAUGCCAUGCUGUUUCUUCGUCAUCCUGGUAAUUAGAGUUUACCGCAGAUGCAAAUGUUGAUGCCUGCAGAUGCAGAUGCCUGUUGUCUCUAAUAUCAUGCUCAAUUUACAUUGGACCUAGGGAAAUAACGAUGCUCCUGCUUGUCUGGAAGAGAACCUGUUCCCCAUUUGUUUGGUCACAGACUUUAAAGCAUAAUAUCAUGACAGAGUUGAUGUCAAGGAAGAGACAUGUUCAAGAUUUCCCCCCCCACAUCAGUGGAGAUUCAACAACUUCAACAAAUUCUCAACCCCGCAGACAUCUCCAGUCAUCACCCCAGGGCCUCCACCAAGCCUCAGUACUUGAACUGAAAAAAUAAAAGCAAGAUCUUCUCUGUCAUCACCCUGUUGGGCUGCUCCACAUAGCAGACUACACAAUACUUUCUCUUUACCGGUUGUUCCUAUGGCUGUGGUGGUUGAGCCCACUAUUAUAGCUUUGACAAUUGCAAGUUCAGCCCCUGAUAAUAAUCUCUAUGAAAAUAGUUGUAGAACACUAAAUAUAAAGAUUAAAAAGGAAUUGUU